ensembl:lncRNA
GGGGUAUGCAGUAUCUCCUGGGUAUUCCCAGAAUAAAGAGGUGUGAGAUUGGAGACGAAGCUCAGACAAUGUCUUCAGCAAAGCACUAACUUACUUUCCAAAAUAAAUGAGUCUGUGAGCCAGAAACCCCAGGACAAGCAUGGGUAAAGUGGCCUUGUGCUUCUCUGGUGAAUUGCGCUUAUUUUUCAAUUGAAGUGGGAAGUGGGAAAGGUGGAGUGAUAUCUGAGGUAGUGAUAUGAGAGGUGGAGUGAUAUCUGAGGUGGUGAUAUGAGAGAUGCAGUGAUAUGUCAGGUGGUGAUAUGAGAGGUGGAGGGUUACAUUAGUUACUGUUGGGGUGACAUGGGAGAGGUGGAGGGUUACAUUAGUUACUGUUGGGGUGACAUGGGAGAGGUGGAGGGUUACAUUAGUUACUGUUGGGGUGACAUGGGAGAGGUGGAGGGUUAC